GCGGUCGUCGUCCAGCCUGGUCUCGUGCUAGACACGCCAAGAGGACAGUAGCCCUCCAAGCUACUAACUUGGGUCCAAAUCCCAACGACCGCA
rnacentral:tRNA from 1 species